rnacentral:rRNA from 1 species
UACGUAGGUGGCGAGCGUUAUCCGGAUUUAUUGGGUUUAAAGGGUGCGCAGGCGGAAGAUUAAGUCGGUGGUGAAAUUUUGCAGCUCAACUGUAAAAGUGCCAUUGAUACUGGUUUCCUUGAGUGUAGAUGAAGUAGGCGGAAUUUGUGGUGUAGCGGUGAAAUGCUUAGAUAUCACGAGGAACUCCGAUUGCGCAGGCAGCUUACUAAACCACUACUGACGCUCAUGCACGAAGGCGUGGGGAUCAAACAGGAUUAGAUA